UGGGGAAUAUUGCACAAUGGGCGAAAGCCUGAUGCAGCAACGCCGCGUGAGGGAAGAAGGUCUUCGGAUUGUAAACCUUUGUCCUAAGUGAAGAAACAAAUGACGGUAGCUUAGGAGGAAGCCACGGCUAACUACGUGCCAGCAGCCGCGGUAAUACGUAGGUGGCAAGCGUUGUCCGGAUUUACUGGGUGUAAAGGGUGCGCAGGCGGGACUGCAAGUUGGAUGUGAAAUACCGGGGCUUAACUUCGGAGCUGCAUCCAAAACUGUGGUUCCUGAGAGAUGUAGAGGUAAGCGGAAUUCCGAGUGUAGCGGUGAAAUGCGUAGAUAUUCGGAGGAACACCAGUGGCGAAGGCGGCUUACUGGGCAUUUUCUGACGCUGAGGCACGAAAGUGUGGGGAGCAAACAGG
rnacentral:rRNA from 1 species